UACGUAGGGGGCAAGCGUUGUCCGGAUUUACUGGGCGUAAAGAGCGUGUAGGCGGCCACGCAGGUCCGUUGUGAAAACUGGAGGCUCAACCUCCAGCUGUCGACGGAAACCGUGUGGCUAGAGUCCGGAAGAGGAGAGUGGAAUUCCUGGUGUAGCGGUGAAAUGCGCAGAUAUCAGGAAGAACACCAAUGGCGAAGGCAGCUCUCUGGGACGGUACUGACGCUGAGGCACGAAGGUCAGGGGAGCAAACGGG
rnacentral:rRNA from 1 species